AUGCUUGUUUUGAAAGUACAUGUACUAAAAUUGGAACAAUACAGAGAUUAGUAGGAUACCUGGUCAAGAAAAACAGGCAAAUUCAUGAAACAAUUCUUAUAUUU
ensembl:snRNA LOC120093311 U6 spliceosomal RNA